rnacentral:rRNA from 1 species
CUGAUGUUAGCGGCGGACGGGUGAGUAACACGUGGGUAACCUACCUAUAAGACUGGGAUAACUCCGGGAAACCGGGGCUAAUACCGGAUAAUAUUUUGAACCGCAUGGUUCAAUAGUGAAAGACGGUUUCGGCUGUCACUUAUAGAUGGACCCGCGCCGUAUUAGCUAGUUGGUAAGGUAACGGCUUACCAAGGCGACGAUACGUAGCCGACCUGAGAGGGUGAUCGGCCACACUGGAACUGAGACACGGUCCAGACUCCUACGGGAGGCAGCAGCA